UUUCAAUGGAAUUCACAUGUG
rnacentral:piRNA from 1 species